GGAGGCAGCAGUAGGGAAUCUUCCACAAUGGACGCAAGUCUGAUGGAGCAACGCCGCGUGAGUGAAGAAGGGUUUCGGCUCGUAAAGCUCUGUUGUUAAAGAAGAACGUGGGUGAGAGUAACUGUUCACCCAGUGACGGUAUUUAACCAGAAAGCCACGGCUAACUACGUGCCAGCAGCCGCGGUAAUACGUAGGUGGCAAGCGUUAUCCGGAUUUAUUGGGCGUAAAGCGAGCGCAGGCGGUCUUUUAAGUCUAAUGUGAAAGCCUUCGGCUCAACCGAAGAAGUGCAUUGGAAACUGGGAGACUUGAGUGCAGAAGAGGACAGUGGAACUCCAUGUGUAGCGGUGAAAUGCGUAGAUAUAUGGAAGAACACCAGUGGCGAAGGCGGCUGUCUGGUCUGUAACUGACGCUGAGGCUCGAAAGCAUGGGUAGCGAACAGGAUUAGAUACCCUGGUAGUCCAUGCCGUAAACGAUGAUUACUAAGUGUUGGAGGGUUUCCGCCCUUCAGUGCUGCAGCUAACGCAUUAAGUAAUCCGCC
rnacentral:rRNA from 1 species